rnacentral:lncRNA from 1 species
CUGGAUAUUAAUAAGAAUUUGAAAACUAAAACUUGAAUUGUAAAACCUCUGUUCUCCAGGCAAGCUCCUGGCUGUUGAAACCUGAAAUGCAUGCCUCUGUUCUCCAGGCGGGUUCGUGACUGCUAACUUGGAACGUAUGUCUCUGUUCUUCAAGCGAACUCCUGACUGCUCAAACUUGAAAUGUAUGGCUAUGCUCUCCAGGCAGGCUCCUGGCUUCUGAAGAGAUGAACUGAUAGGGGUCUUUUUUUUUAUCCCCGAAGAGAUGAACUGAUGGGGGUCGUU